rnacentral:tRNA from 2 species
ACUGAGGUAGUCUAACAGACACCCGAUUUCGACUCAGGAGAACUUAAAAUUUUUUAAGCCCCAGUA